rnacentral:misc_RNA from 1 species
AUGCCGAACAACCAGCUCAUGCACCCUAGAAAUAUUUACAGGACACCACCUGCUUUCAAGGAGCUGGCGGUAAUGUAUCCAGAGUUCAAUAAAUACGCGUCAGUUGGUUUGAAUGGCAAAAUCGUUUUCGACUUCAAAAAUCAGGACGGUCUCAGAUUGUUGACCACUAUACUGUUGAAGAAAGACUUUGAUUUAGACGUGGAUUUGCCAGUCGGUAGACUGGUACCAACCAUCCCGUUACGACUUAACUAUUUACUGUGGAUUGAGGAUCUUUUCAACUUAAACUAUGACAACACAAAGAAGAUCAAAGGAAUNGAUAUAGGCACAGGUUCAUCGUGUAUUUAUCCAUUAUUAGCAGCUAAACAAUUUCAGUGGUCCAUGGUCGGUACUGAUAUCAAUAAAGAAGCUGUUAAAAAUGCUAAUAAAAAUGUAGAAAAAAAUAAUUUACAAAAUUUAAUUCAAGUUCUAGAGGUAUCAGAGUGGGAGAGAUUAUUGCCAGUAGCUGUAGAUGAACAUUAUGACUUUUGUAUGUGUAAUCCACCUUUUCAUAGUUUCUCAAAUUUAAAUUCAUCAGAUGAUGAAGCAGAUAGCGCAGUUGGAAUUACUUCUGAAAUGUAUACAAUGGGUGGAGAAGUUGAUUUUAUAAAAAAAAUGAUUAAAGAAAGUGAAAUAUUACAGAACUCGAUAAGUAUUUAUACAACAAUGGUUGGUUAUAAAGCUUCAUUAGAUCCUCUAAAAAAUGAACUGAAAGCUAUUGGAGCAUGUACAAUUGCAGAAGCUGGUUUCUAUCAAGGUCGGAAUGCUCGUUGGGGAAUUGCUUGGACGUUUCAACCNGAUAUAAAAUUAAAAGAUUUUUUGCCUAAUAAAGAGUUUCAAAAAGAGAAAUUGAAACUUAGACCUCCAGUGUCUUUUAAAAUUCCAGAAUCGUACGACUCUACAACAGCGCUUACUAAACUAUCAGAACUUCUAGAUAGUCUUAAGUUGNCAAUCUCAGUAUUAAAAUCAAAAAUUGAUGAAAGUAUUUUAUACCAAGCCGACAUUAAAGCAUAUGAAAAUACAUGGACUCAUCAAAGAAGAAAAAGGCGUAUGGAAAAAAGAUUAGCUUAUUGCAAACGUCAAAAAAUUAAUGACCGUUGUUUACACAUUAUAUCUGAUGAUGAAAAGAUUGAUCAGAAUUUAGAUACCACACUCAAUGCCAAACCAUUAUUUGCAGCUACAUUAGUUUUAAGAAAAACGGACAAUACAAUUUCGAUAGACAUGUUGCACCUAGACGGCAAUAGAGACAAUUCACACCAAGUUUUUCAGUUCCUUAAGAAUAGAUUUAUAUAAUUAGAGUUUCGUGUGACACAAAUUUAGGAAAACCAAAUCCAAGGCUAUCUGGCUGCGUGCUUGGUCGUUGAAAAUUCUCCCAAGAUGGAUCAGGCACAAAACUCUCAACUAUGUUGCAUGGCUAUGAAAUGACAAAGAUCCGUUGCCAUUCAAAAACACCGAUGCUUGCAACUUGUAUCCAAAUUGGCUGGUGUAGAACGGCGUACUGAUGAGUUCUAG